rnacentral:rRNA from 1 species
CUACGGGAGGCAGCAGUGGGGAAUCUUAGACAAUGGGCGCAAGCCUGAUCUAGCCAUGCCGCGUGAGUGAUGAAGGCCCUAGGGUCGUAAAGCUCUUUCGCCAGGGAUGAUAAUGACAGUACCUGGUAAAGAAACCCCGGCUAACUCCGUGCCAGCAGCCGCGGUAAUACGGAGGGGGUUAGCGUUGUUCGGAAUUACUGGGCGUAAAGCGCGCGUAGGCGGACUGGAAAGUUGGGGGUGAAAUCCCGGGGCUCAACCCCGGAACUGCCUCCAAAACUAUCAGUCUAGAGUUCGAGAGAGGUGAGUGGAAUUCCGAGUGUAGAGGUGAAAUUCGUAGAUAUUCGGAGGAACACCAGUGGCGAAGGCGGCUCACUGGCUCGAUACUGACGCUGAGGUGCGAAAGUGUGGGGAGCAAACAGGAUUAGAUACCCUGGUAGUCCACACCGUAAACGAUGAAUGCCAGUCGUCGGGUAGCAUGCUAUUCGGUGACACACCUAACGGAUUAAGCAUUCCGCCUGGGGAGUACGGUCGCAAGAUUAAAACUCAAAGGAAUUGACGG